UACGUAGGGUGCAAGCGUUGCCCGGAUUUAUUGGGCGUAAAGGGCGCGUAGGCGGCUCGGCACGUCCGUUGUGAAAUCGCCCGGCUCAACUGGGCGGGGUCGGCGGAUACGGCGUGGCUGGAGCAAGCUAGGGGGCAAUGGAAUUCCCGGUGUAGUGGUGGAAUGCGUAGAUAUCGGGAGGAACACCAGUGGCGAAGGCGGUUGCCUGGAGCUUUGCUGACGCUGAGGCGCGAAAGCGUGGGGAGCGAUCCGG
rnacentral:rRNA from 1 species